UACGAGUGCCCCAAGCGUUAUCCGGAAUCAUUGGGCGUAAAGGGUGUGUAGGUGGUUUUGUUAGUCUUCUGUCAAAUUUCCCGGCUCAACUGGGAACCUGCAGAGGAAACGGCAAGACUCGAGGAUGCGAGGGGUGAAUGGAACUCAUGGAGUAGGGGUGAAAUCCGUUGAUAUCAUGGGGAACACCGAAAGCGAAGGCAAUUCACUGGCGCAUUCCUGACACUGAAACACGAAAGCGUGGGUAGCGAAUGGG
rnacentral:misc_RNA from 1 species